CAGAGUUUGCGGGAGAAGCGAGAGAAGAGAUUAACUGAGCGAACCGCGGAGCUGCUAGCAGUUAGCCACUUAGCCGGAAGUCCCUCAGCCUGUUUGACAGCCAGCCCAGUGCCUUCCCUUCCGGUGCGCGUCUGCUCAACCCAAGUAGCAGCCCUCCCUUUCCCCUCGCCCGUCUGCCUCCUUCUACCUUUCCUCCUCCGAGCGUGACCGACGACACGGGCAGGCGAAAACCAAAAUAAACACGCCGAACAGUCGACUGUUUACACUCGGUGUCCUGUUAGCAGUCGUCGGAUGCGCAACAUGAUGUUGAGCUUCACCGCGGCGCGAGGCGGCCUCAGCCUGCUGGCCGUGAGGAGGGCGUGUCUCCUGUACCGCCGCGCACACUUGGGCCCGCAGAGCCAGUAUCGACCAAUCAAGAAAGUGAUGGUGGCUAACAGAGGUGAGAUCGCCAUCCGUGUGUUCAGAGCCUGCACCGAGCUGGGGAUUCGAACGGUGGCCGUCUACUCCGAGCAGGACACCGGACAGAUGCACAGGCAAAAAGCAGACGAGGCUUACCUCAUUGGGAAAGGUUUGCCGCCUGUCGCCGCCUACUUGGACAUUCUCGACAUCAUCAAAGUAGCCAAGGAGAACAACGUGGACGCCAUCCAUCCGGGCUACGGCUUCCUGUCCGAGCGCUCCGACUUCGCUCAGGCCUGCGCCGACGCCGACGUGAUGUUCGUCGGACCGACCCCGGAAACGGUGCGCAAGAUGGGGGACAAAGUGGAGGCCCGCGCCCUCGCCAUCAGCGCCGGUGUACCCGUGGUGCCGGGAACCAACUCCCCUAUCAGCAGUCUGCAGGAGGCGCACGUCUUCGCCCAGACAUACGGCUUCCCCAUCAUCUUCAAAGCAGCCUACGGGGGCGGCGGCCGAGGCAUGAGGGUGGUCCGGGAAUACGAGGAACUAGAGGAGAAUUACCAGCGGGCCUACUCUGAAGCUCUGACGGCUUUCGGCAACGGCGCGCUGUUUGUGGAGAAGUUUAUCGAAAAGCCGAGGCACAUUGAAGUGCAGAUCCUCGGAGAUAAAUACAGCAAUGUCAUCCACCUGUACGAGAGAGACUGCUCCAUUCAGCGGCGCCACCAAAAGGUGGUAGAAAUCGCGCCGGGUUUCCAACUGGACCCUCAGCUGAGAAACCGACUUCAUUCGGACGCGGUCAACCUCGCCAAACUGGUGGGCUACGAGAACGCAGGGACGGUGGAGUUCUUGGUGGACAAACACGGCAAACACUACUUCAUUGAAGUCAACUCCCGGCUUCAGGUGGAGCACACGGUGACGGAGGAAAUCACGGACGUGGAUCUGGUGCACGCCCAGCUGCACGUGUGCUCCGGCCGCAGUUUGCCGGAACUGGGCCUCAGACAGGACAAGAUCCGGGUCAACGGCUGCGCCAUCCAGUGCAGGGUGACCACCGAGGACCCGGCCAGGGGCUUCCAGCCUGACACCGGCAGGAUCGAGGUAUUCCGGAGCGGCGAAGGCAUGGGAAUCCGUCUGGACAGCGCCUCGGCCUUUCAGGGCGCUGUCAUCUCGCCGCACUACGACUCCCUGCUGGUCAAAGUCAUCGCCAGCGGCAAGGACCUGCCCACCGCCGCCUCCAAGAUGAGCCGAGCCCUGGCCGAGUUCAGAGUGAGGGGCGUCAAGACCAACAUCCCGUUCCUCCAGAAUGUGUUCUCCAACCACCAGUUCCUCCACUCGACCGUCGACACGCAGUUCAUCGACGAGAACCAGGAACUGUUCAACCUCAAGCCCACGCAGAACCGAGCGCAGAAGCUGCUGCACUAUCUGGGUCACGUGAUGGUGAACGGACCGACCACGCCCAUCCCAGUGAAGGCCAAACCGUCCUCGAUUGACCCCGUCAUUCCUCCCGUCACCAUGGGAGAUCCUCCGGUAGGAUUCCGCGACGUCCUGCUGCGCGAUGGUCCGGAGGGCUUCGCCAAGGCCGUGCGUGCCCACCGAGGGCUCUUGCUCAUGGACACCACCUUCAGAGAUGCCCACCAGUCCCUGCUGGCCACCAGGGUGCGCACCCACGACUUGAAGAGAAUCUCCCCAUUUGUCAGCCAUAACUUCAACAACCUUUUCAGCCUGGAGAACUGGGGAGGCGCCACCUUUGACGUGGCCAUGCGCUUCCUGUCCGAGUGCCCGUGGAAGAGACUCCAGGAGUUGAGGGCUUUGAUCCCAAAUGUUCCGUUCCAGAUGCUGCUGAGAGGAGCCAACGCCGUGGGCUACACCAACUACCCCGACAACGCCGUCUUCAAGUUCUGCGAGGUGGCAAAAGAGAACGGCAUGGACGUCUUCCGCGUUUUCGAUUCCCUCAACUACCUGCCCAACAUGCUGCUGGGCAUGGAGGCGGCCGGAUCGGCGGGCGGCGUCGUGGAGGCGGCCAUCUCGUACACGGGCGACGUGUCAGACCCGAUGAGGCAGAAGUACUCCCUCAGCUACUAUCUGGAGCUAGCAGAGGAGCUCGUCAAAGCUGGAACGCACAUCCUUUGUAUCAAGGAUAUGGCCGGUCUGCUUAAGCCAGAGUCCAGCAAGAUGCUGGUAGGCUCUCUGAGGGACCGCUUCCCACACGUGCCCAUCCACGUGCACACGCAUGACACAGCCGGCGCCGGCGUGGCCGCCAUGCUGGCGUGUGCGGAGGCCGGAGCUGACGUCGUGGACGUGGCGGUUGACUCGAUGGCCGGCAUGACGUCUCAACCAAGCAUGGGCGCAAUGGUCGCCUGCGCCAAGGGGACCAAGCUGGACACUGGUAUCGCGCUGGAGAAGGUGUUCGACUACAGCGAGUACUGGGAAGUGGCUCGAGGCCUCUACGCUCCGUUUGACUGCACGGCCACUAUGAAGUCCGGCAACGCCGACGUCUACGAGAACGAGAUACCCGGAGGACAGUACACCAACCUCCACUUCCAGGCGCACAGUAUGGGCCUGGGGAAUAAGUUCAAGGAGGUGAAGAAGGCCUACACUGAAGCCAAUAAACUACUGGGAGACCUCAUUAAGGUGACGCCGUCCUCCAAGAUCGUGGGGGACCUGGCCCAGUUCAUGGUCCAGAACAACCUGAGCCGCGCCGAGGUGGAAGAGAGGGCCGACGAGCUGUCCUUCCCUCUGUCUGUGGUGGAGUUCCUGCAGGGUUACGUUGGGAUACCGCACGGAGGAUUCCCGGAGCCCUUUAGAUCCAAGGUGCUCAAGUCGCUCCCUCGCCUGGAGGGCCGCCCCGGCGCCUCGCUGCCGCCGAUGGACUUCAAGUCCUUGGAGGAGGGGCUGCGGGCGGCGCACGGCGACGACAUCACGCCCGAAGACGUCAUGUCGGCGGCCAUGUACCCCAAGGUGUUCCAAGAAUUUAAAGAAUUCACUGGUAACUUCGGCCCAGUGGACUGCCUCAGCACCAGGCUCUUCCUGGAUGGGCCGAAGAUCGCUGAGGAGUUUGAGGUAACUUUCCGCUUUCUACGUUUGAAUUCACUGCAAGCGCCGCCGACCUCGACGACAAGCCGUGACAUUCAUUCAUCCCCAGCGGAAAACAACAAGCCUUUUGUUGUCACGGCAGUGGUUGUUCCCACAGGAUCAAGUCUUAUUAGCGGCGGAGAGGAGCAAGAGACGGACUGAAAGCACGUCAAAAAGUGACAACUUGUAGCUUUUUCACAAGCGUCGCUUUAUGGCUUGUGAAAGGAGGCGAGGGAGACAAAAACCGCGCCCGCCUACUGGAGAGCAAAUCCUAAACACUUUUGCUGGUGUGUCUGCAACUUUCAUUCUACAACAGGGCAACAUUAUCUUACUUGUCAAAAUUGGAUCUUUUGUGACUUUGUUGGCAUUUUGGAAAUGAUUUUGAGAUUCAAUAUAAAGGCUAUAUAAGUAAUUUAACCGUUGCAAAGGUGAUGCUCACUAUUAAUUUUACAGGGCAAGAUUGCAUUUCCUCAAAAUUCUCAGAGACCAGGAAGGAUUUCAUGCUCCAUAUGGACAAAAAGGAUUGGGACCGGUCUAGUUGCUGAAAUCACAACCCCCGCAACUGUCGACUGUCAAUCAAGUGCCUCUGCAACGACAUGGAAAAAUGGAUGCAAAUUUGUCAAGCAUCAAUCUUAUGCUGACACAUAAUCCAUAAAACGUGUAAAUAUAUCUGCUUAAAGCCUCCGGUGACUGGAUAGAUAUUUUCCAAGCCGCAACAAUGAGGCACUCUAAAGCGGCCACAUCGGCACGAAGGCCCUAUCCAUACGCUGGCUGUCAAGUUGGACUUUUUUUGGGGGGGGGGGGUGUUUUCCCCCCUUUCUCACUGUGACAUGCGCACACUUGCAGCCGACAACGUGGCGCUCUAACGCGGCCACGCCAGUGGACUACCCGAAGGGAAGACGUAUUUUGGGGAUGUAGGCAUAGCUAGCUCACACACACACACACACACACACACACCCACGUGAGCACAGACACUACUGUCAGUCACCCACACAUGCGGCGAAUAAAAAGCCUGAUUGCCGCUGAUUCGUUAUCAUAUUAAUGAUGUUUGACAGAAAUGUAAACCAGUCCAAUAUACACGUGCGGUCACUUCUCAUAAUCGCAGACGCCAACAGACCCACGCGAUCUCGUUCCAAGACGGGUUAUUAAUAAGGUCGCGUCAUGAGAUUGGAAUGUGUCGUUAGUUUUAGCAUUCGACGAACAACCGCGACUAUACACGCACCCUAACUAGAUCUCAUGAGCAUUAUUAUUCGCCACUUGACUGUUUAAGCAAGAAAGGGAAACUACGAGCUGGCUGUUAUGCGCGUUGCAUUUGACUGCGUGGAAUGAGAAGCAAUCAAAUGAGAGAUUUCAUUUGUGUCUCCGCACAAUUGGAGAAUCACAAUGAGGAGCGGCUCGAAGCUCUCACGUGACUUGACAACAGCGUGAUUGUUGAUGUUCGCGACAUUGGCUUUAAUUGGUCCGUAGGCUUGAUGAGCCUUGGCAGGCGAAGGCGCACGGCAGACGGACCAAAGCGUCUGCAAAACACCAAUUGGAUUUUGCUGCAAGUCCUGCCAGAUGCGUGCAAACAAGCACUCGAGACUCAACGCUGGCAUUCUUGCCACCGCUGCACGUAUUUCGGUCUUUUUUUUCCCGGCACCGAGAUCCGCUUCUGAAUGUCAAUGAGUCGUCGUUUCAGAUGUGAGACGGUGACAAGGCGAAAGAACAGAGUAGCCGAGGGAUGGCAAGACAUGAAAAAGGAGAACGACGUCGGAGAGGAAGCGAGAUGGAAGGCAGCUGUGAUGCUUUUGACCAAAAUAUGCCACAAAUACACACACACAAAAACAAAAGCAUGAGGCCUCCCUCUGAUUGUAUAUCUCUAUUCUCUAGAUGUGGGAAUAAGUCACAUGAAGUCUUUAACCUUCAAGUGGAGCUGGAGAGGGGCAAGAUCCUGCACAUCAAAGCUCUGGCCUUGGGCGACCUGAACAAGGCCGGCCAGAGGGAAGUCUUCUUCGAGCUGAACGGACAGCUGAGAUCCGUGCUGGUGAAAGACACGGUUGCCAUGAAG